UCUCACGAUUUGUGUUCAUCAGCAAACUCAUCUUUCGCCUUUUACUAAAGAUGACUGUGGAUACAGAUCACCACGUGACAGCAUAAUUUUUCCAAGGGCUUGAUGCCUU